rnacentral:rRNA from 1 species
UUCGAUGCAGCGCGAAGAACCUUACCAGGGUUUGACAUGAUACGAAUUUUUUUGAAAGAAAAAAGUGCCGUUUGGAACGUAUACACAGGUGGUGCAUGGCUGCCGUCAGCUCGUGUCGUGAGAUGUUGGGUUAAGUCCCGCAACGAGCGCAACCCUUAUUUUUAGUUGCCUUAUGGAACUCUAAAAAGACUGCCGGUCAUAAACCGGAGGAAGGCGGGGAUGACGUCAAGUCAGCAUGCCCCUUACACCCUGGGCUACACACGUGCUACAAUGGGUGAGACAAUGAGAUGCAAGCCUGCGAAGGUUAGCUAAUCUAUAAACUCAUUCUAAGUUCGGAUUGUAGGCUGCAACUCGCCUGCAUGAAGUUGGAAUCGCUAGUAAUCGCUGGUCAGCUAUACAGCGGUGAAUUCGUUCCCGGGCCUUGUACACACCGCCCGUCACACCAUGGAAGCUGGUUAUACCCGAAGUCGUUACUCUAACCGUUNG